UACGUAGGUGGCAAGCGUUGUCCGGAAUUAUUGGGCGUAAAGCGCGCGCAGGCGGUCCUUUAAGUCUGAUGUGAAAGCCCACGGCUCAACCGUGGAGGGUCAUUGGAAACUGGGGGACUUGAGUGCAGAAGAGGAAAGCGGAAUUCCACGUGUAGCGGCGAAAUGCGUAGAGAUGUGGAGGAACACCAGUGGCGAAGGCGGCUUUCUGGUCUGUAACUGACGCUGAGGCGCGAAAGCGUGGGGAGCAAACAGG
rnacentral:rRNA from 1 species